GAUGAACGCUGGCGGCGUGCCUAAUACAUGCAAGUCGAGCGAAUGGAUUAAGAGCUUGCUCUUAUGAAGUUAGCGGCGGACGGGUGAGUAACACGUGGGUAACCUGCCCAUAAGACUGGGAUAACUCCGGGAAACCGGGGCUAACACCGGAUAACAUUUUGAACCGCAUGGUUCGACAUUGAAAGGCGGCUUCGGCUGCCACUUAUGGAUGGACUCGCGUCGCAUUAGCUAGUUGGUGAGGUAACGGCUCACCAAGGCAACGAUGCGUAGCCGACCUGAGAGGGUGAUCGGCCACACUGGGACGGAGACACGGCCCAGACUCCUACGGGAGGCAGCAGUAGGGAAUCUUCCGCAAUGGACGAAAGUCUGACGGAGCAACGCCGCGUGAGUGAUGAAGGCUUUCGGGUCGUAAAACUCUGUUGUUAGGGAAGAACAAGUGCUAGUUGAAUAAGCUGGCACCUUGACGGUACCUAACCAGAAAGCCACGGCUAACUACGUGCCAGCCGCCGCAGUAA
rnacentral:rRNA from 1 species